rnacentral:rRNA from 1 species
UGGGGAAUAUUGCACAAUGGGCGCAAGCCUGAUGCAGCGACGCCGCGUGGGGGAUGACGGCCUUCGGGUUGUAAACUCCUUUCGCUAGGGACGAAGCUUUUUGUGACGGUACCUAGAUAAGAAGCACCGGCUAACUACGUGCCAGCAGCCGCGGUAAUACGUAGGGUGCGAGCGUUGUCCGGAAUUACUGGGCGUAAAGGGCUCGUGGGUGGUUUGUCGCGUCGUCUGUGAAAUUCCGGGGCUUAACUCCGGGCGUGCAGGCGAUACGGGGAUCACUUGAGUACUGUAGGGGUAACUGGAAUUCCUGGUGUAGCGGUGAAAUGCGCAGAUAUCAGGAGGAACACCGAUGGCGAAGGCAGGUUACUGGGCAGUUACUGACGCUGAGGAGCGAAAGCAUGGGGAGCGAACAGG